UGCAUAUCAAUAAGCGGAGGAAAAGAAACUAACAAGGAUUCCCCUAGUAACGGCGAGCGAAGCGGGAAGAGCUCAAAUUUGAAAGCUGGCGUCUUCGGCGUCCGCGUUGUAAUCUCGAGACGUGUUUUCCGUGCGGCUCUAUGGACAAGUCCCUUGGAACAGGGCAUCGUAGAGGGUGAAAAUCCCGUACUUGCCAUGGAAGUACCGUGCUUUGUGAUACACGCUCCAAGAGUCGAGUAGUUUGGGAUUGCUGCUCAAAGUGGGUGGUAGACUCCAUCUAAAGCUAAAUAUCGGGGAGAGACCGAUAGCGAACAAGUACCGUGAGGGAAAGAUGAAAAGCACUUUGGAAAGAGAGUUAAAAGUACGUGAAAUUGUCGAAAGGGAAGCACUUGAAGUCAGCCAUGCUGCUUGAGACUCAGCCUGGCUUUUGCUUGGUGUAUUUCUCGGUAGCAAGCCAGCAUUGGUUUGUGUCGUCGGAGAAGCGUAUGGGGAAUGUGGCAUCCUCGGAUGUGUUAUAGCCCUGUGCAGGAUACGACGACGUAGACCAAGGAACGCAGUGUGCCCUCUGGGCGGGUCUUCGGACACCUUCACACUUAGGAUGCUGGCGUAAUGGCUUUAAGUGGCCCGUCUUGAAACACGGACCA
rnacentral:rRNA from 1 species